rnacentral:rRNA from 1 species
ACGAACGCUGGCGGCAGGCUUAACACAUGCAAGUCGAACGAUGGCUUCGGCCAUAGUGGCGCGCGGGUGAGUAACGCGUGGGAACCUACCCUGAAGUGGGGGAUAACCUCGGGAAACUGAGGCUAAUACCGCAUAUGCCCUGAGGGGCAAAGACUUCGGUCGCUUUAGGACGGGCCCGCGCCCGAUUAGGUAGUUGGUGAGGUAAAGGCUCACCAAGCCGACGAUCAGUAGCCGGUCUGAGAGGAUGACCAGCCACACUGGGACUGAGACACGGCCCAAACUCCUACGGGAGGCAGCAGUGGGGAAUCUUGCGCAAUGGGCGAAAGCCUGACGCAGCCAUGCCGCGUGAAUGAUGAAGGUCUUAGGAUUGUAAAAUUCUUUCACCGGGGACGAUAAUGACGGUACCCGGAGAAGAAGCCCCGGCUAACUUCGU